rnacentral:rRNA from 1 species
GACGAACGCUGGCGGCGUGCCUAAUACAUGCAAGUAGAACGCUGAAGCGAGGAGCUUGCUCUUCUUGGAUGAGUUGCGAACGGGUGAGUAACGCGUAGGUAACCUGCCUUGUAGCGGGGGAUAACUAUUGGAAACGAUAGCUAAUACCGCAUAACAAUGGAUGACACAUGUCAUUUAUUUGAAAGGGGCAAUUGCUCCACUACAAGAUGGACCUGCGUUGUAUUAGCUAGUAGGUGAGGUAAUGGCUCACCUAGGCGACGAUACAUAGCCGACCUGAGAGGGUGAUCGGCCACACUGGGACUGAGACACGGCCCAGACUCCUACGGGAGGCAGCAGUAGGGAAUCUUCGGCAAUGGGGGCAACCCUGACCGAGCAACGCCGCGUGAGUGAAGAAGGUUCUCGGAUCGUAAAGCUCUGUUGUAAGUCAAGAACGGGUGUGAGAGUGGAAAGUUCACACUGUGACGGUAGCUUACCAGAAAGGGACGGCUAACUACGUG